AGCCGGGACUCUGCUACCAGGCGUGCUGGAGACCUAGUGGGCCCAGCUCUGCUGCGCUGCGGGGGGCUCUGCCAGGCCUGCGGCUGCUGGGGGGUGCUGGCGCCUCUGCCACCCCCAUGCUCAGCGCCCCCCUCACAGCACCCUCAGCAAGCAGGGCUGGCUGCCUGCCUGCAUUGGGAGGGCCUCUAGGGGUUCAGGGGCACUGGGCCCGGGGGAGGGGCUGCUUUGGCGCUGCUGCCCUGGGGGAUGUGCGGGGAGGCCCUGAGUCAACCCUGUCCCAGACAUCCCCUUUGAUGAAGGAACAAAAGGUCUUUCAGUGGAGAGAGCUGAACAGGGAGCCUGGUGGUGGAGGCGUGUGGGCGCAGUGUGCCCGGGGGCUGGAGAAUCCCACCAGGGAGGCCUUGACCUCCCCAAGGCAGGGAGACCUUCAGGGAAGGAGGCUGCCUGGCAUGGCCCCUACCCGCUUCAGGCUGGUGCUGGUGAGGGGUCCUGUGGCCCUGGGCAGGCCAUUGUGCUGCCUGCCUCUUCACCCACUGUGCGGGCCUUGGCUUCCCUGGGCUCUGGGUCAUGGUGGUGGUGCCCACCCGCGUGGGGCAGGGCUAUGUAUACGAGGCCGCCCAGCCGGAGCAGGACGAGUACGACAUCCCGCGACACCUGCUGGCCCCGGGGCCACAGGACAUCUAUGAUGUGCCCCCGGUUCGGGGGCUGCUUCCCAGCCAGUAUGGCCAGGAGGUGUAUGACACACCCCCCAUGGCUGUCAAGGGUCCCAAUGGCCGAGACCCGUUGCUGGAGGUGUAUGACGUGCCCCCCAGUGUGGAGAAGGGCCUGCCACCGUCCAACCACCACGCAGUCUACGACGUUCCUCCAUCGGUGAGCAAGGAUGUGCCCGAUGGCCCACUGCUGCGUGAGGAGACCUACGAUGUGCCCCCCGCCUUCGCCAAGGCCAAGCCCUUUGACCCGGCCCGCACCCCACUGGUACUGGCUGCGCCCCCUCCAGACUCCCCGCCGGCCGAGGACGUGUAUGACGUGCCGCCCCCGGCUCCUGACCUCUACGACGUGCCCCCUGGCUUGCGGCGGCCUGGCCCGGGCACCCUGUACGAUGUGCCCCGUGAACGGGUGCUUCCUCCUGAGGUGGCUGAUGGUGGCGUGGUCGACAGUGGUGUGUAUGCGGUGCCUCCCCCAGCUGAACGUGAAGCCCCGGCAGAGGGCAAGCGCCUGUCGGCCUCCAGCACCGGCAGCACACGCAGCAGCCAGUCUGCGUCCUCCUUGGAGGUGGCAGGGCCGGGCCGGGAACCCCUGGAGCUGGAAGUUGCUGUGGAGGCCCUGGCACGGCUGCAGCAGGGUGUGAGCGCCACCGUUGCCCACCUUCUGGACCUGGCAGGCAGCGCCGGUGCGACUGGGAGCUGGCGUAGCCCCUCUGAGCCACAGGAGCCGCUGGUGCAGGACCUGCAGGCUGCUGUGGCCGCCGUCCAGAGUGCCGUCCACGAGCUGUUGGAGUUUGCCCGCAGCGCGGUGGGCAAUGCUGCCCACACAUCUGACCGUGCCCUGCAUGCCAAGCUUAGCCGGCAGCUGCAGAAGAUGGAGGACGUGCACCAGACGCUGGUGGCACAUGGUCAGGCCCUCGACGCUGGCCGGGGAAGCUCUGGAGCCACCCUUGAGGACCUGGACCGGCUGGUGGCCUGCUCGCGGGCUGUGCCCGAGGACGCCAAGCAGCUGGCCUCCUUCCUGCACGGCAAUGCCUCACUGCUCUUCAGACGGACCAAGGCCACUGCCCCGGGGCCUGAGGGGGGUGGCACCCUGCACCCCAACCCCACUGACAAGACCAGCAGCAUCCAGUCACGACCCCUGCCCUCACCCCCUAAGUUCACCUCCCAGGACUCGCCAGAUGGGCAGUACGAGAACAGCGAGGGGGGCUGGAUGGAGGACUAUGACUACGUCCACCUACAGGGGAAGGAGGAGUUUGAGAAGACCCAGAAGGAGCUGCUGGAAAAGGGCAGCAUCACGCGGCAGGGCAAGAGCCAGCUGGAGUUGCAGCAGCUGAAGCAGUUUGAACGACUGGAACAGGAGGUGUCACGGCCCAUAGACCACGACCUGGCCAACUGGACGCCAGCCCAACCCCUGGCCCCGGGGCGAACAGGCGGCCUGGGGCCCUCGGACCGGCAGCUGCUGCUCUUCUACCUGGAGCAGUGUGAGGCCAACCUGACCACACUGACCAACGCCGUGGACGCCUUCUUUACCGCCGUGGCCACCAACCAGCCGCCCAAGAUCUUUGUGGCGCACAGCAAGUUCGUCAUCCUCAGCGCCCACAAGCUGGUGUUCAUCGGGGACACACUGUCACGGCAGGCCAAGGCUGCUGACGUGCGCAGCCAGGUGACCCACUACAGCAACCUGCUGUGCGACCUCCUGCGCGGCAUCGUGGCCACCACCAAGGCCGCUGCCUUGCAGUACCCAUCGCCUUCCGCGGCCCAGGACAUGGUGGAGAGGGUCAAGGAGCUGGGCCACAGCACCCAGCAGUUCCGCCGCGUCCUAGGCCAGCUGGCAGCCGCCUGAGGGUGGUGACCCCAGGAGGGAGGCAGGGGAGGGGUGCGGCGGUCCCAGCUCCCUGGCUCCCAUGUCAAGAGUCGCUGUGCCACAGGCUUAGGGACAGGACCCCAGCUCUGCGUCGGUCCUGGUGCCCUGGAUGCCCAGGAAUCUGUAUAUAUUUAUGGCCGGGCAGGGUGUGGGGCCAUGCCUCCUCAGGAGCCGAAGCCCAGGGGCCGGCCAGUGGCCUUCCCCAGCAUGCACCACGGGCCCGGGUUGGGUCACCAGACGGGGCUGGAGUGUGAGGGUCCUGCAGCCUGCAGGACCUCGUGCCACCCCGAGGGCUGAGCCUGGUCCCACGAGGGUGCCGUGUCCCCUGACAGGGCCAGUGCAGUUUGGUGUGUCCUCCGCCUUACCAGGAGAAGAACCUGAAGAACUAUUUUUCGUUAUUGGUUUUCCAAUCAUUUGACUAAGAGUCUCCAUUUAAAUAAAGUUUUUAAAAGG
rnacentral:misc_RNA from 1 species